GUCAGUGAUGGCUAAGUGGUUAAGACUUUGGGUUACUGAUCAGAAGGUCAAGGAUUCAAGCCCCAGCACUGCCA